rnacentral:lncRNA from 1 species
GAAGUUUGUGAUCCUUCUCUCAUUUACUUGACAGUAAGUCUAAUUGAACUCUUGCAAUGGGAAGAUCUGGAGCCGGGAGCUCGCCCCGAAGCCGCCCUGCGAGGAAGGUGAGGGCCGCCGGCUCGGGGAGCCCCCUUUCCCCCUCCACUCCCACCCCGCGGGAGCCUUUUUUCCUCCUGGACACGCGUCAGGCAGGGCACGUGUGAAGGCGCUCCGCCUGCCCCUGGAAGGGCUGCGCUCUUCGCCCGGGGCUGAGCGACUGCAUCUUCUCCCCUCCCCGCAGGCACCUUCCGCGAAGCCCCCUGGCAGAACUGCGUCCCGUGCGAUCUGUGCGAUGGUAAGAGGGCGAGGGGGCGCCGGGGCCGCUUUCGUGCCGGCUGCGCGGGGAGAUGGGGCGCACGGGCGCCCCGGGAUUGCCCAGCCCUUGAGCCUCCCCACCGGCCUCCUGGGGGCGAGCUCUCCGGCUUGGACGGAGGUCCCCUGGGGGGGCAAUCUAAAGUCUGGAGGGGGGGGAGCCUGCCGCUUCCUCCUCCUCUCCCUCCUCUCCCUCCUCAGGCGACCACCGGGAGUACGAGCGGCGGUGCAACGGGACGGUCAACGCGCUCUGCCGGUGCCGUCCGGGCUUCCUCUGUGGCGGGAAUGCGUGCGAGCGGUGCCUCUGCUCCGCGGGACAGGAGCCCACGGCGGAAGGUGCGCGGAGGACGGGGGGGAGGGCUUCCCUUGGGCUGCCCUGCCCGUGAGUACGGGGGCGGAGGGGGAAUGAAUCUGGGGGAUCCGGGAGACCCUCAAGCACCCCCCCUCCCGGUGGGCAGGACAGGCGGCUGGCGAUGUCGAUGCCCGGCGCCCUCCAAGUGAUGCCCGCCUACCUCCCGGUGGGCAGGACAGGGGGCUGGCGAUGCGGUGCCCGGCGCCCUCCAAGUGAUGCCCGCCUGUCCCUUUUGACCCCACAGGAUGCCGGAGUUGCCCUAAGGGGACCUUUAGCAACCAGAGUCACGCUCCGUGCCGCCCCUGGACACGGUAAGCGUGGUUUCCCCCACCCUUUCUCACGAUCAGAGGUUUUUGGUCUGGCCCACGGGACGAUCCCUGCUGUUGUUGAACGCACCUUCCCCGGCAGAUGCCCGGAGGGCCACAUCCUGACUCCAGGGACAGAGAAGACGGACGUGGUUUGCCGGCCGGGUCUGGAGGAACCUGGGACCACCGCGCCACCGGGGGUCCUCUCCACGCAGAUGCGUUCCGAGGAGACGGACAGCCGGCUCCUGGCGGUCAUUCUGGCCCUGCUGGGCGUCUUACUGCUCUGCUUGGUGUUCCUGCUGCUGUCCUGCGUUUUCUUCCGAUCUUGGGCCCGAGAGAAGUUCCGGAAAGGUGAGCCCCCCCCUUCAGACUCCCUCUUGCAGCUCCCGACUACCCCUCAAAAGAAGGGUGGGGCACCCCUAUCCUACGAGCCACUGGAGCGCAGAAUGGGGCCCCUCCCCGGCCCCUAAGCCGACUCUCCCCCACUUCAGCCUUUAAGAAGACAAGCUGUUUGCCGCUGGUGGCGGCUGUGAUGCUGACCUAAGAGGGAGACCACCUGUGUCCAGGGUCCUGAUGUUCCAGGCGGGUGGAGGAAGAGACUGAGAGGGGAAGGGUGUCCCCCGGCAGGAUGGGCGCCUCCUCUGGAGGCCUGGAGCUCAAACCUAAAAGUCCUGGAAGAAGCAUCUCCGUUGGCUUUCCUUCUUGUCCACAAGAGGAGGAGAAGAUGCCCCACGCAGGAGGGAGAUGCCCGGGUGGGUACGAGAGUUGCCUUUCCUUCUUGUCCACAAGAGGAGGAAGAGAAGAUGCCCCAUGCAGGAGGGAGAUGCCCGGGUGGGUACGAGGCAGGAUAGUCAUCACCCAACUUCCCUGGAUUGAAAUUGGCCUUUAACCACCCUCUGGAUCAGGACCGGGCAUGGCAGGCCCAUCGGGAGGGCAUGACAAGAGCUUGACAGCUCUUCUUGCAGAAGCCCCACGCAGCUUUUUGCUCAUCCCAACACCGCCUCCUUGGGUCUGCCCGAGAUCUGCUAGGAAUCUAGUUCUCUGUGUUUUGGACUUUUCCGAGUCUUGAUGACCCCAGAUGUGAUCCAGGCCAUGGGGCUUCUAAACAGCCCUUCUGUUACCCCCACACACACACACACCUUUGUUCUGGGGGGGAAUCAAGGAAAGCUCGUCUGGAUGGACAGGUGAGCAGGACAGGUGUCUUGAGGAUGAUCUUCCCAAGUCCUCCUGACUCUCUGGAGCUCCUGCCCCAUUGGAGGGAAGCCAUGGGGCUCAAGACCCUUCUGUGUCGUGCUUUUGGGGCUUCCUCUUGGGGCGGAGGGGUGUUCCUGGGCAGACGAGAGAGCCUGGCCAUCAGAGCCCCAGACCUCUGCCUGCUGGCGUCAGUGCUCUCACCUCUGGCCUUCCUUUCUCCCAUGUGCUCCCCCCCUCCGCAGGACCCCCGAAACAGCUGGCCCAGGAGGUGGAUGA